rnacentral:tRNA from 2 species
GGAGAGGUGGCUGAGCGGUUGAAAGCACCGCACUCGAAAUGCGGCAUACGGGUAACCGUAUCGGGGGUUCGAAUCCCCCCCUCUCCGCCA